rnacentral:tRNA from 1 species
UCCCUGGUGGCUCAGAUGGUAAAGCAUCUGCCUACAAUGCAGGAGACCCGGGUAUGAUGCCUGGGUUGGGAA